CAAAAAAAUUUCACUGCGUCCAUGUUUUCCUCGUCGGUCUAGGUAAUGUUUUGAAUUGCUCUAUCUCUCCUGCAAGGUUGUCUCCUUUCCUCAGAUAUCGCUAUUGGUCUCUCUCUCUCCCUCCCUCUCUGCCUUUCUCUCUCUCUUUCUCUUUCUCUCUCUCCUUAUGUUUCUCUCUGCCUGGUUGUGGUGGCGAUGCUGUCGGUGGGCAGAGAGGGAGGGAGCGCCACUCGUUCAAAUGGUACUGGCUGCAUCUCAGCAUCUCCGAUCAAACAGCAUAUAACAAGCAAAAUGUUUAAUUUUUUCUUUAGUUCCUCGCCUCAGUUCAUGUAAAUAAGAAUGUAAAUAGAACCGCAGUUGACACCCGCAUAAUGUACAAAUUUUUUAAAGCAAAAAUAAAGAACGUUUUUCUCUCUCCUCUUGUCAGCGCCACCGCCCUUUUUUGAGCCGAGGAAAACUGAUUUAUGUGCAGCCAUCAUCAGACUCCCUUGCUGAGGCAAAUUAACAAUUACUCGGGAGCAAGGCAAACGGAGCAGCAAAUCAUUUUAAAAACAGAUCUAGACUUUGCCUAGCUGCAGCACUGUGAGCCAACUGCUGUUCCAGCUGAGGGGGAAAUGUCUCUAAUGUCAUUUGAAUAUUUUCAGACUGAGAAAGUGGGUGAAAUACGACCAAUAGCUUUGAAAAUAAAUUCAUGUGAUGGAUUAAAGCCAAGAUUAAAGUUGAAGCUUCCUCCAUGUUCACUGUAUCUACCCCAGUAUGAAAGAACCCUAAUUUCAUCAAUUAUGUAGUAUGUCCACUAGAUUAAUAACAUUCUCUCCAACCUCAUUAAUACUGUAAGCAGACACUCUAAAAACCAUUUGUAUUAGUUCCCCUAGGAGAUUUUUCCAUGGAAUCCCCCAUUUUAGUGAGUCAGAGUAUAAAAUAAAUCUGCAAAGAAACUGGUCAUGAGUGGGCUAUCGUGAAGCUUCACUCAUUACGUCAUUCCCUCAGCCACCGCAUACAAACAGAAGCAGCCAUGCAAACAUAAUGGGCAUUUGUGCCUGUAGGUCUGGGUGCUCUCACACAACAGUGUAGAAUGGUAUCUGAGGACAAAAUGAUUUUGUCUGAGUAAAUGUUGGGAGAUAGUUUACAGUUCUCGCUGUGAAUUUUAAAUGCCAGGGAACCGUCUUCUCCUGCCAAGAGUUUGAUGAGCAGAUGGCAACAGAGAAGUGAAGCAUGCAUUUCCUUUUUGUAGACUGUCUAAAGAGAAUGUCAGAAAUAGGUGGAUUUCUUAUUUUCUUGUCCCCUCAUUGAAAAGUGCUGUCUCCGAGAUUUUAGUCUGAUCCUGUUACAGUCAAAAUCUAGUCUACAGGGCAAGUGUGACUGCAGAGGCGUUGUAAAAGUCAACUUUAGAAUGCACCUGACAAGUUGUGUAGAAGAACAGAAAUGCAUCAAUAAAAUUAUGAAAUUUGCAGUACAAUUUAAAUGACAAGGUAGGAAGUAAAUUCCCCAAAAGAGCCAAACAAAAAUACUUGCAAAAUAAAUAGGUACAAUGAAAAGGAUCAAGACAAAUAAUAGAAUAAAUAUUAAAAAUAGAAAGUCAAAUUGAUAAUUCCCCUUAAAAGCUUUACUUUUGUUUUGCCAUUGCUUUAUUGCAAUGAAAUAACUGCAGCAGCAAAAAACACGUCAUCACAGGAAGCCUAAAUCCAGCUGUGUAUCAGGAGGUAUGAGUCAGUAAAAAGAAAAGGUCAAUGAGAACAGCUCUGAAAAGUUAAUCCCUAUGUCAGUCAGAGGGGCAGAGAGGUGGGAGAGACGGUGAAAUUGGUCCCUCUGUUGGAAGAAAUCAGUAGUGCAAAGAUUUAACACGUGAUUCUCUCCCUCUGCUCAUCCACCCAGGCUUUUUGCAUUAAGCCAAAGUACUAAAGCAUAAUCUCAUCUAUGACAGUGUGUGUUUGAGAGCGAGAAAGGGAGGCGGUUGGAGGGAGGCGAAUACGUCAUUCGGUCAAGUUCUUUAUCUAUUCUAGGGCAAGCGCCAUACUGACAAAGCUGGAUGAAAAAAAAAACAGGGCAAUGUGUGGAGGUGAAAGCAAGGGGACGGUUAAACGUAUAACAUGUCUGUCUCCAUUUCAAACAAUGAUAACACACACCACGUUCUGCAUUCAUCAGAUAAAUAUUGCGCAAUUAAAAUUAUUUAGUUGAACAAAAUUGUAAAAAAUGUAGAGCAAAUAAUAAAAAAAAGAUCAAACUAAGUAUUACAAAAACAAAAAGAAUAUACUCAUAUGUUACUGAAAAAAACAGCUUAAGGACAGAGUUGUGUUCUCACACCUUUUGAAGAACUGGCUCAUUUAAAGCCUAAUUAUAACCACAUUCUUGUUCAGUAUGGUUUGUAAAGCAAGCACGCAGUGAAGAUGUUCAAUAGGGAUGUUUGUUCUGAUCCCACGUGUACCUUUCCUUCAAAAAUAAAGGUCAUGAGAACAAAAAGCUGCUUAAAUCCCUCCCCAUGGGAGCAAGCACUGGCUAAACAACUUCUUGCAUGUCCUGAUUCCGGCAUGAAUCAAACAAAUCCUCAGUGCUGCACCAAAGAAAGCUAUCAGGAAAUACAGGCAGGCUUUGGAUACUUUCCUCUCUGGAUGGCCUGGCUUUGUAUCUCUGUCGGAUUGGUUAGGAUGGGCCCCGUGGUGCAGAGCAUGACAAAGAUAAUUUAAUGAGGGCAAAAAUAUUCCAGUGCCAGUGAGAAAGAAGGCUUGGUGGAAGUAGGGGAUGUAUGAUGAGUGCCUUUUUUAAAUGUGUGACCGAUUGUAAGCUUGUAAUUUUUUCAUUCAGCCUUAGGGCAUGCAUUUGAUGUGUGUGUGUGUGUGUGUGUUUUUUAUCCAUCUCAUUCUUGCAAACCCUGGUUUUCCUCACUAUUUCAUGCUCAAGGCUCAAAUCUGUGCUGCUGUAUUUGUGUCUUUCUGUGAAACAUUUUCCAUUCUGGAAUUGUACCAAUCUCACUCUCUUUCCCCCUUGUUUGAUUUGCUUUCUCCUGUUUACACACCAAAUAAAGAAAAAAAAUCAACAACAAUCUUGCCAAGGUUGCUGCAAAUCUGCACCAUGCACCUCUCUCAUUCUCUCUCUCCUUAUUUAUUCCUUAAGCAUCUCUUCGUAACCUGUGCGGCUUCCUUCCAGCUUGCUUCCAUGUGAAACAUGCUGGGAUGGAAGAGAGAGUGAGAGUGGGGGUGGGUGCACCAGCAGCAGCUCCCUGGAAACAGACUGGCUCAUCAUCACAGCCCAGAAACAGUCUCCAUGGCAACCUAACUUCACUCUCACACAAAGGACACACCCUUGUCAAUGAGAAAAACAGGAAGUGGUCCAUGAGAUGUGCGCAGUCAGAACGGCAAAUGAAUCUCAAAGCUAGUUUGUUGAUCUCCUGCGUUCCCCACGUGUGUAGACUUGGGGUGAGGAGACAUUUAUACGAUGCUUUUUGUCCAGCUGUUGAACCCAUCUGGGCAAAUGACUUGCAGUUAAAGCCUCUGCUGCAGGAGACCAGUCCUCACACUGCGAAGCUCUUCGCUGAGAGCUCCUGCAACCAUAAUGUACUGUAGAAUAAAUAAUUUAGUGCAUGUUGCAGCAUCAAGGGAGGCAAAGUUAGAAGCUUUUAUCAUAUAUACAUUCUAGAGCUUUCAUGGCUUUGUUUUUAAACAGUGUGUGCAAGUGAGACACUGAAUUGCAUCGUUUAUGUAAAAUCCGACCGUCCAGUAGCUCAAUACUGCAUGGAUAAAAAGCCUCCUCCCUCCUACUGCCCUCUAAAACACAGGUUCAGCUGUGAUCGACAUUGGGUUAUGUCCGGCCCCGCCCAGCCGCAGAGCCGAACAGGAGGGAGAGCUGAGGCGAACUGAGCUGAUGCCUCGAUCGGAACGGAAGCUCCCCACUACUGCUACUGCAAAGGGUAGCGGAAAAUUACCUGCCCCUCCCCCACUUUCUACCUCAGAGACAGAGAGCCGCAGCAUACAGUGCACGAGCUGGAGCAUUUACGCAGAGAGGCAGAUCCAGACAUUGUUUCGGGAACCAGUGGAUUCGGAGAGUGCGUACAACCUACAUUGCGCAUCGACUGUAUCGGACAUAGAGCCGCGCAGCAAACACAAGUUCAGUCUGAUGGCGCCUGUAGCGUGCUGCCGUGGUCAAAUCACUCGCUGACCCACUUAAGCGACGCUCAUAACCUGAUAGACUUGACUCGCAAUAUUCCGCGUGUGUGAGAGAGGGACGGAGCCGGGUUUCACUCUCACCAGCCAAGAACGAAUAAAAAAAAAUAAAUAAAUGACUGAAGCUUUGACAGAUGAUUGCAUGACUGUGUGUCUUGAACCACUCCCUGAAAUGAGGUCAUAGCGUCUGAGUGGGUCACAACACUAUCAAGCCAUUGAAAAAAAAAAAAAACAAAAAAACUGAGCCACCAAACCUCACUGGGAUUACCUGAACCCAAACCACCUGCAAAACGCAGAAUUAUAUAUUUUAUGAUUAUACAUGUACAAAUGAAUACGCGACCAGCUUCGGGACUAAAGCCCACUUGACUUGACACGGAACUGGAUUCUGUAAGCACAUUAAGGAUAGUAAUGAAAAUAUAUUAAAUCAGGUUUACAGCGCUCCGCAGCUGAGAGCAUGCAUGUCUGAAGAAAUGGAGUUAAUUUCCUGUUAGCUCCUUCAGCUGCUCCCCUUCACCAGGAGGGAGUGUGCAAGUGGGGGGAGGGGAGGAAUUCAUCAGGAUACGCAAGAGAAAAGAGACGCCCGAGCAAUGGAUGUCAUGAUUCAGCCUUUCCUCGGAAUGAAGGUUAUAAGGUUUUCUGAUAAAAUAUGCUAAAGAACUGUAAAUAAAAACAAUACACCAGAAUGGGAGCAGCAGGGGAUCAAACAGAAGACCAGACUCAUUACACAGAACACCUGCAAAACUUUGCAGUCUCUAAGAAUGGGCACAAAUGUGUAUCAUGACUAAAAAUGUAUGGACAUUUCCCUUAAUAGGACUAGAAUUUAUAUUGAUGUGUUAUGUAGCAUCCAGGGAAUAGAGAACAUUAUGGGUCAGGCUAUGAUCAACACAGAUUUAAGAUUCAAGCAGAAUUGAACAACAAUUAUUACAGCAAAAGAAAGAAUGAACAAAUAAUGAAAAUGAACAAUGAGAGCAAAUGUUAGCUUAUUGUGAAAUGAGACAAUCAUAACAUUAGUAACACAUUUAAUGUUCUCUUUAUGUGGAAAGCGUUUGUAUCUCAAAAUGUUAUGAACUGGUUUAUAUCUCGCACAGAAAUGAUAUGUAAUAAAUAAAACUUGAUUCUGUGUACUUGAAAAGUGCAAGUGUAAA